UAGGGAAUCUUCCACAAUGGACGAAAGUCCGAUGGAGCAACGCCGCGUGAGUGAUGAAGGGUUUCGGCUCGUAAAACUCUGUUGUUGGAGAAGAACGGGUGUCAGAGUAACUGUUGACAUCGUGACGGUAUCCAACCAGAAAGCCACGGCUAACUACGUGCCAGCAGCCGCGGUAAUACGUAGGUGGCAAGCGUUGUCCGGAUUUAUUGGGCGUAAAGCGAGCGCAGGCGGUUUUUUAGGUCUGAUGUGAAAGCCUUCGGCUUAACCGGAGAAGUGCAUCGGAAACCGGGAGACUUGAGUGCAGAAGAGGACAGUGGAACUCCAUGUGUAGCGGUGAAAUGCGUAGAUAUAUGGAAGAACACCAGUGGCGAAGGCGGCUGUCUGGUCUGCAACUGACGCUGAGGCUCGAAAGCAUGGGUAGCGAACAGGAUUAGAUACCCUGGUAGUCCAUGCCGUAAACGAUGAGUGCUAAGUGUUGGAGGGUUUCCGCCCUUCAGUGCUGCAGCUAACGCAUUAAGCACUCCGCCUGGGGGAGUACGACCGCAAGGUUGAAAC
rnacentral:rRNA from 1 species